GAUGAACGCUGGCGGCGUGCCUAAUACAUGCAAGUCGAGCGAACGGACGAGAAGCUUGCUUCUCUGAUGUUAGCGGCGGACGGGUGAGUAACACGUGGAUAACCUACUUAUAAGACUGGGAUAACUUCGGGAAACCGGAGCUAAUACCGGAUAAUAUCUUGAACCGCAUGGUUCAAAAGUGAAAGACGGUCUUGCUGUCACUUAUAGAUGGAUACGCGCUGCAUUAGCUAGUUGGUAAGGUAACGGCUUACCAAGGCAACGAUGCAUAGCCGACCUGAGAGGGGGGUAGGCCACACUGGAACUGAGACGCGGUCCAGACUCCUACGAGAGGCAGCAGUAGGGAAUCGUCCGCAAUGGGCGGAAGCCUGGCGGAGCAACGCCGCGUGAGUGAUGGAGGUCUUGGGUUCGUGAAGCUCUGUUAUUAGGGAAGAACAUAUGUGUAAGUAACUGUGCACAUCUUGACGGUACCUGAUCAGAAAGCCCCGGCUAACUACGUG
rnacentral:rRNA from 1 species